rnacentral:rRNA from 1 species
GAGGCUCGAAAGCGUGGGGAGCGAACAGGAUUAGAUACCCUGGUAGUCCACGCCGUAAACGAUGAGUGCUAAGUGUUGGAGGGUUUCCGCCCUUCAGUGCUGCAGCAAACGCAUUAAGCACUCCGCCUGGGGAGUACGACCGCAAGGUUGAAACUCAAAGGAAUUGACGGGGGCCCGCACAAGCGGUGGAGCAUGUGGUUUAAUUCGAAGCAACGCGAAGAACCUUACCAGGUCUUGACAUCCUUUGACCACUCUAGAGAUAGAGCUUCCCCUUCGGGGGCAAAGUGACAGGUGGUGCAUGGUUGUCGUCAGCUCGUGUCGUGAGAUGUUGGGUUAAGUCCCGCAACGAGCGCAACCCUUAUUGUUAGUUGCCAUCAUUUAGUUGGGCACUCUAGCGAGACUGCCGGUGACAAACCGGAGGAAGGUGGGGAUGACGUCAAAUCAUCAUGCCCCUUAUGACCUGGGCUACACACGUGCUACAAUGGGAAGUACAACGAGUUGCGAAGUCGCGAGGCUAAGCUAAUCUCUUAAAGCUUCUCUCAGUUCGGAUUGUAGGCUGCAACUCGCCUACAUGAAGCCGGAAUCGCUAGUAAUCGCGGAUCAGCACGCCGCGGUGAAUACGUUCCCGGGCCUUGCACACAC